rnacentral:rRNA from 1 species
GACGAACGCUGGCGGCGUGCUUAACACAUGCAAGUCGAACGGUAAGGCCCUCGGGGUACACAAGUGGCGAACGGGUGAGUAACACGUGGGUGAUCUGCCCUGCACUUCGGGAUAAGCCUGGGAAACUGGGUCUAAUACCGGAUAGGCCCCUGGGAUGCAUGUCCUGGGGUGGAAAGCUUUUGCGGUGUGGGAUGGGCACGCGGCCUUUCAGCUUGUUGGUGGGUUGAGGGCCUACCAAGGCGACGACGGGUAGCCGGCCUGAGAGGGUGACCGGCCACACUGGGACUGAGAUACGGCCCAGACUCCUACGGGAGGCAGCAGUGGGGAUUAUUGCACAAUGGGCGCAAGCCUGAUGCAGCGACGCCGCGUGAGGGAUGACGGCCUUCGGGUUGUAAACCUCUUUCAGCACCGACGAAGCGCAAGUGACGGUAGGUGCAGAAGAAGGACCGGCCAACUACGUGCCAGCAGCCGCCGUAA